UUAAUUAUGACCCUGAAAAAUACUAACGACCAAAAACCUGAUGAAUGUGGGAACCCACCAAGGAAGGCAGUGGGAAACAAAGUGUCCGGAGGAGGGUCCAGAAUGAAGGACUUAGACAAAUUUAUUUCCAGCUGCUCCUGAGUCUGAGCCGCACAAAGCAAUUUCCGAGUUGGUUUCGUUCAGGUGUAUCAGGAAAAUUCGGUAGGGGCAGCAUGGAGAGGACCAGCAGGAAUGCAAGGUGCUCCAUGUUGGGGAAGGAGAGGCACAUGCAAUUAAAGGUGAAGAUGGCAAACCUUCAGAUUUUUACAACUGCCUGGGUGACUAGGCUUAUUUAAAGGUUUUUGGACCCUCUCCCAUCCAUGAAUGUGGUUAUCCUUUAAGGAUCUCUACUUGGUUCUCUUCCAUGGCAACCUCAUCCAGUCUCAAGGUUAGGAC